rnacentral:rRNA from 1 species
UACGUAGGGUGCAAGCGUUAAUCGGAAUUACUGGGCGUAAAGCGUGCGCAGGCGGCUUUGCAAGACAGAUGUGAAAUCCCCGGGCUUAACCUGGGAAUUGCAUUUGUGACUGCACGGCUAGAGUUUGGCAGAGGGGGGUAGAAUUCCACGUGUAGCAGUGAAAUGCGUAGAUAUGUGGAGGAACACCGAUGGCGAAGGCAGCCCCCUGGGCUAGUACUGACGCUCAUGCACGAAAGCGUGGGGAGCAAACAGG